UGCUGCACACGAGCUGCUGGUGGAACCCUGCGGAGCUGGUGGCUGCCAGGGGCAGGAAAUGGAACACAUGCCUUCCAUCCAGGCACAUUUCUGCCUCUAAUCAGAUCUGCAGUCAUGCAGGGAGAAGUGGCACUGACAAAACGUCAAGAAAUCAAUCCUCACAUGCACAGGGCUUCCAAGUGGAGCUAUGGAUGGAUUUCUGACAGAGAGGAAAUGGCCACAGCCAAAACUGUGUUGUACAUCGUGAUUACUGCUGUAAGGAACACUUCAUUUAACCCAAAUAGUAGCGAGCCUUUAGCAUAGUAUUUUCCAAUUGUUACCUGUAUCACCCUGGUUAAACUGUGCUGCUGCUGUCAGAGUGAAGAGCACCAUGUCACUGGGCUGUAAGGAAGUUUCACAAAUAGCUUCUUUUCCUGAGGGUAGAAAAAUUCUUCAAGCAAAGUGAGUGCCUCUGAGUGCAUUCAAAUCUUACUGGGAGCUGAACACACACUGCUGACCUACAUACAGACCCCUAAAACCAACAUCAGAGGAUAAAAACUCAAGAGAGCAACAGGCUUGAGCUGUUUCAACCCAUGAGCUCCUUCACAGUGACAAGGACUGCCCAGCACCCUGACAGAGAGCCAGCUCUGGAGACUGGUGUGGUGGUGCUCAAGAGCUCUCCCUUUUUAAGGACAGAAAAUUGAAGGCAGACAGAGAUGGAUGGGGGCAAGACUCUUCAUGGAAAUCAUUAAAGACUCAAUGAAUCUUACAGAUACCAUAAUGUG